GAUGAACGCUAGCGGCAGGCCUAAUACAUGCAAGUCGGACGGGAUUCAGGAGCUUGCUUCUGAUGAGAGUGGCGCACGGGUGCGUAACACGUAUGUAACCUACCUUUAUCAGGGGGAUAGCCUCUCGAAAGAGAGAUUAAGCCCGCAUAAAAUCACAGCACAGCAUUGUGUAAUGAUCAAAUAUUUAUAGGAUAAAGAUGGGCAUGCGGAACAUUAGCUAGAUGGCGGGGUAACGGCCCACCAUGGCGACGAUGUUUAGGGGAUCUGAGAGGAUGGCCCCCAACACUGGUACUGGGAAACGAACAAGACUCCAACGGGAGGCGGCAGUAAGGAAUAUUGGCCAAUGGGCGGAGGCCUGAACCGGCCAUGCCGCGUGCAGGAGGCCGGCCUUCGGGGUUGUAACUUGCUUUUAUAGGGGAAUAAACCCAGUUACGUGUAUCCGGCUGAAGGUACUUUAAGAAUAAGGACCGGCUAACUCCGU
rnacentral:rRNA from 1 species